CCCUUUCUCCCACUCAUUAAAUUUAUCAUUUUUGUCAUUGUAAUUAUUAUUGACAUUAUUUUUUAUGUUUACCUUGAUCUAUUAAUUUUAUUUAGCUUAAUUCUCUUCAAUAAUCUUUUGCAUUUUCUUCAUUAAUUCUUCCUCUUUCUCAUUAAUUUUGGAUUAUGAGAUCUGGGUUUAUUUUGAUGAUAUUUGUUGAUUGAUUAUUUCUUUUUGUAUUGGGUUUUAAUUUAUGUUGUUUUUGGUUAAUUUAUGAAACUUAUGAUAAAAUUGGGUUGAGAGCACUGGAGGCAGCGGUUCAUCGAUCUGUUCCUGAAUUGGGUAUUCGUUAAAUUCAUUGCAGUAAUCGAUCGAUAAACCUCUGCAUCCAGCGCUUUAUAACUAUUUUAAUUUAUUCUAAGAUGCAUUCUCUUUGUGGGUUUUGAUUAAUUAGGAAUUUGAUUAUGUUCUCUAGACUAAACAUAUAUACUUUAUUUUGGUGUGUAAUCUUGAUUUUAAUUGUUGUGGUUUCAAUCAAUGAUGCUUAUAUUAGCUUUGAUCAGCUGAAAAUUACUCCGUAACAUACUAUUCACCUGCUCAGGGUGAAUUUUCAUGUGUUUUUUUUAUUGUCAUUUGUCAAGAACUAAUGGUAAAAUCUUGAUGUUGGAGUAGCCUAGACUAGAAAACAACCACCUAGCAUGGUUACCUUGAACCAGUUGAUGCUAAAGUGAUAUUUGAAAGAUCCAUAGGGGGUGGCCAAAUGGGGGAAUGAAGGCUGAUAGGUUCUUGAGAUCGAAUUAGGAAUCAUGUUUAGGGAUUCUGAUCGUUUUUUUUGCUGGUUAGUUGCUGUCUAGGGAGUGUAUGCUAAACCUAGUUUGAUUUUGAUCUGUUUUUGUGUACACAGUUGAGCAAGGUCCUAUUUUUUGGUUCCGAAUGGGCCACAAGGACAAUACAAAUUACAGCUGAGAGAGGGGGGAUUCGAACCUGUGGCCUCGUACAUAGGCCCUCAGUGUUAACCACUAGACUAAGACAUCAUGGGUCCUUUAUGAUAUUCGACAAUUUUCAUUUAGCCUACUCUAUGAACUUUAUGCCAUUAACACAUGUAGUUGAUGAUCAAUGAGCAUAAUAUAGGAAUUAUGUUUUAUGCAGCUAUAAUAAGCUUAUCUCUUCUUCAUUAAAACCAUAUGGAUUCGAUUUUGGUGGAAUGGCUAGGCUUUCUGAACCAUAUGCUUUCAGAUUUUCUCUUGAAAUUUGAUCAAUGGAGAAUGUAAAAGUGGAGAAUAGAUGAACAGAAUGAACCAACUACAUCGGUUGCAUGACUCAUGUUCUUUUUAAAUCAAGCUGAAUGAAAUUGUUAUAUUGUUGUAUUUCGAGUUGUGUUACUGUGUUAGUUACUCACUGGAAAAUCUAAUAACAGCCGAAUACCCGAUGAUAAGAGAAAUGGUUGAACUCUAGAUGCUGCAGCCUGCAGUCAUAUUGUUACGUAUUUUCUUGUUUACGACUUUGUAUAGGAUUUAGUGUUUUUUGGCUGCUCAGGUUCUUGAAUAUAGUUGAGCUGUGCAAGUUUGCAGUAACAGUUAAGUUCAGGCAUUUGUAAAACAGCGAGCAAGGGAGAUUGCAUAGUAUUACUUCAUAGCAUUCAAUAUAUACUGGUAGAGUGGUAGAUGGUGUUCUCAGGUGUGCCAAGAAAGUUGAUCCCUGCUUGGCAGUUGGCACGUGCACGACAUGUACACGUGGAGGGGCGUGUGUGGCUCAUGGCGCAUGAGAGACACUAACACACACCGCUCCAUGUGCCUGCCGGGAAUCACAAUUAUAGGUUGUUCAGGUGCCAAAACUAGCUUCAGGAGGAAGUCCGGGAAACUUUCAGGUGAAAUUGCUCCCAUGAGAGUCAAGUGAAAACUACAGUUUGUCAACAGAGAAUCUUUGUUGCUAUCAUAGUGUAGACUUUGAGACCAUCAUUUAUAGUUAUAGCAGUAUCUAUUAAUGGCAGUCUUAUAAUUUGAGAUUCUGUCUUCUUUCUUGGAUAAAGUUUCUCACUAGGAAUUGGGAAAUUCUGAUUCUACGGCUGGUGCUGGUUGGAGUUAUUUGCGGUUGUCCUUAUUUGAGUAUUUCCUCCGUCCCUUUUUAUUUGCCAAAUUUUCUGUUUUUGGUCCGUUCCUGAAAAGCUAAAAGAUUUCCCCAUGAAACCGUAACUUUAUUCUAACAUAAAAUACAUUUGUUCCUACCGCUUUUGUUUCUUCUUAAUUUCCGAAGUAAAAAAUGGCUUGGGGGUAAUUAGGGAAGGAGGAAAUGUAUUUGAAUCAUUCAACAGUUGCCAAGUGGAAGAAUCAGCAAGGUUGACAUUCUUACAAAGUCUCAAGGAGUUGCUUAUUUCUGAGGAAAAAUUAACAUCCAACUAUGGGCGACCUUCUUUAAAAGGUCUAACCUUUUGAAUAACUAAAGACACUUCUAUUUCUAAACGUAAUCUUUUAUCUUUUUUACUCCGUAAAAGUUGGAUACUUGGAUAGCUUGAGUUAAUUCUACGGGUUUGUUAGUUUCAAGAAUGAUGUUUAUCCGUUUUCGAAAAUAGUUAAAUCUAUUUUGAUUCGUUAACUUUCAAACCCGAUUCGAUCUGACAUGUUAGUCAAAUGAAUCUGUUCUAACCUAAUUUGUUUUUACCUCGAUGAACCGAAAAAAUCUGAUCUGUUGAUGACACCCCUAAUUCAACAUCAUCAGAGUACACAUUCUAAUCGGAGGGUGUUGGUGUACACACUCAUGAUCUCACUGCUGGUAUGAUCAACUCAACCUUACAGCAAUGCAGCAAGCAACAUUCGUGCACAAGCUCACCUCAAGCAACAACAGCUAACUGCGUCUGCAUCACAACCUUCUAGAAUAUUCAGUGUAACUGAAUUCUGUUAGAGUAGUUGUUAGCUUUUAUUUCUGUAAUAAAGAGUGUUAGUUAGAGCUUGCUGAUGUGUCAGUUUGGAGCACGUUGAUUGGCUCCAACACGUCACCUAAUCAUUGUAUAUAAGGCCAAUCAUGCUGUAAUCAUUAUUCAUUCAUUCAAUAAGAAAAUUAUCUCUCUCUCC